rnacentral:rRNA from 1 species
GACGAACGCUGGCGGCGUGCUUAACACAUGCAAGUCGAACGGAAAGGCCCUGCUUUUGUGGGGUGCUCGAGUGGCGAACGGGUGAGUAACACGUGAGUAACCUGCCAUUGACUUUGGGAUAACUUCAGGAAACUGGGGCUAAUACCGGAUAGGAGCUCCUGCUGCAUGGUGGGGGUUGGAAAGUUUCGGCGGUUGGGGAUGGACUCGCGGCUUAUCAGCUUGUUGGUGGGGUAGUGGCUUACCAAGGCUUUGACGGGUAGCCGGCCUGAGAGGGUGACCGGCCACAUUGGGACUGCGCUACGGCCCAGACUCCUACGGGAGGCAGCAGUGGGGAAUAUUGCACAAUGGGCUGCAGCCUGAUGCAGCAACGCCGCGUGCGGGAUGACGGCCUUCGGGUUGUAAACCGCUUUCGCCUGUGACGAAGCGUGAGUGACGGUAAUGUGUAAAGAAGCACCGGCUAACUACGUG